UAGGGAAUCUUCGGCAAUGGACGCAAGUCUGACCGAGCAACGCCGCGUGUGUGAAGAAGGUUUUCGGAUCGUAAAACUCUGUUGUUAGAGAAGAACAAGGACGUUAGUAACUGAACGUCCCCUGACGGUAUCUAACCAGAAAGCCCCGGCUAACUACGUGCCAGCAGCCGCGGUAAUACGUAGGUGGCAAGCGUUGUCCGGAUUUAUUGGGCGUAAAGCGAGCGCAGGCGGUUUCUUAAGUCUGAUGUGAAAGCCCCCGGCUCAACCGGGGAGGGUCAUUUGAAACUGGGAGACUUGAGUGCAGAAGAGGAGAGUAGAAUUCCAUGUGUAGCGGUGAAAUGCGUAGAUAUAUGGAGGAACACCAGUGGCGAAGGCGGCUCUCUGGUCUGUAACUGACGCUGAGGCUCGAAAGCGUGGGGAGCAAACAGG
rnacentral:rRNA from 1 species